AUUGAACGCUGGCGGCAUGCUUUACACAUGCAAGUCGAACGGCAGCGCGGGGCAACCUGGCGGCGAGUGGCGAACGGGUGAGUAAUACAUCGGAACGUACCCAGGAGUGGGGGAUAACGUAGCGAAAGUUACGCUAAUACCGCAUACGUUCUACGGAAGAAAGUGGGGGACCGCAAGGCCUCAUGCUUUUGGAGAGGCCGAGGUCUGAUUAGCUAGUUGGUAGGGUAAAGGCCUACCAAGGCGACGAUCAGUAGCUGGUCUGAGAGGACGACCAGCCACACUGGGACUGAGACACGGCCCAGACUCCUACGGGAGGCAGCAGUGGGGAAUUUUGGACAAUGGGCGCAAGCCUGAUCCAGCAAUGCCGCGUGAGUGAAGAAGGCCUUCGGGUUGUAAAGCUCUUUUGUCAGGGAAGAAACGGCUGAGGUUAAUACCUUCGGCUAAUGACGGUACCUGAAGAAUAAGCACCGGCUAACUACGUGCCAGCCGCCGCUGUAACAC
rnacentral:rRNA from 1 species